AUGAACGCUGGCGGCGUGCCUAAUACCUGCAAGUAGAACGCUGAAGGAAGGAGCUUGCUCUUUCCGGAUGAGUUGCGAACGGGUGAGUAACGCGUAGGUAACCUGCCUGGUAGCGGGGGAUAACUAUUGGAAACGAUAGCUAAUACCGCAUAACAGUAGAUGUUGCAUGAUAUCUACUUAAAAGGUGCAAUUGCACCACUACCAGAUGGACCUGCGUUGUAUUAGCUAGUUGGUGAGGUAACGGCUCACCAAGGCGACGAUACAUAGCCGACCUGAGAGGGUGAUCGGCCACACUGGGACUGAGACACGGCCCAGACUCCUACGGGAGGCAGCAGUAGGGAAUCUUCGGCAAUGGACGGAAGUCUGACCGAGCAACGCCGCGUGAGUGAAGAAGGUUUUCGGAUCGUAAAGCUCUGUUGUAAGAGAAGAACGAGUGUGAGAGUGGAAAGUUCACACUGUGACGGUAUCUUACCAGAAAGGGACGGCUAACUACGUG
rnacentral:rRNA from 1 species